rnacentral:rRNA from 1 species
AUUGAACGCUGGCGGCAGGCCUAACACAUGCAAGUCGAGCGGGGUUUUCGGACCUAGCGGCGGACGGGUGAGUAAUGCGUAGGAAGCUACCCGAUAGAGGGGGAUACCAGUUGGAAACGACUGUUAAUACCGCAUAAUGGCUACGGGCCAAAGUGUGGGACCUUCGGGCCACAUGCUAUCGGAUGCGCCUACGUGGGAUUAGCUAGUUGGUGGGGUAAUGGCUCACCAAGGCGACGAUCCCUAGCUGGUUUGAGAGGAUGAUCAGCCACACUGGAACUGAGACACGGUCCAGACUCCUACGGGAGGCAGCAGUGGGGAAUAUUGGACAAUGGGCGCAAGCCUGAUCCAGCCAUGCCGCGUGUGUGAAGAAGGCCUUCGGGUUGUAAAGCACUUUCAGUAGGGAGGAAGGGUGUUGUGUUAAUAGCACAGCAUUUUGACGUUACCUACAGAAGAAGCACCGGCUAACUCUGUGCCAGCAGCCGCCGUAACAC